rnacentral:rRNA from 1 species
UCAGAUCACAUUGGACCGUACCGUAAACCGACACUGGUGGGUGAGCAGAUAAUCUGCCAAGGCGCUUGAGAGAACUCGGGUUAAGGAACUCUGCAAAUUGAUACCGUACCUUCUGAAGAAGGUAUGCCUUCGACGGUGUAGGGAUUUACUCCCGAAGCUGUUGAAGGUCGCAGGUAAUCGGUGGCUGCGACUGUUUAUCAAAAACACAGGACUCUGCGAACACGCAAGUGGAAGUAUAGGGUCUGACGCCUGCCCGGUGCCGGAAGGUUAAUUGAUGGGGUUAGCCGCAAGGCGAAGCUCUUGAUCGAAGCCCCGGUAAACGGCGGCCGUAACGAUAACGGUCCUAAGGUAGCGAAAUUCCUUGUCGGGUAAGUUCCGACCUGCACGAAUGGCGUAACGCUGGCCACACUGUCUCGACCCGAGACUCAGUGAAGUUGAAAUCGCUGUGAAGAUGCGGCGUUCCCGCGGCAAGACGGAAAGACCCCGUGAACCUUCACUACAGCUUUACACUGAACUUUGAACCUUUCUGUGUAGGAUAGGUGGGAGGCUAUGAAACUUGGGCGCUAGCUCGAGUGGAGCCAACCUUGAAAUACCACCCUGGGAUGUUUGAAGUUCUAACCUUGGUCCGUAAUCCGGAUUGGGGACAGUGUAUGGUGGGUAGUUUGACUGGGGCGGUCUCCUCCCAAAGAGUAACGGAGGAGUGCAAUGGUACGCUCAGCGCGGUCGGUCAUCGCGCUCUAGAGUGCAAAGGCAUAAGCGUGCUUAACUGUGAGACAGACACGUCGAACAGGUACGAAAGUAGGUCUUAGUGAUCCGGUGGUUCUGUAUGGAAGGGCCAUCGCUCAACGGAUAAAAGGUACUCCGGGGAUAACAGGCUUAUUCCUCCCAAGAGUCCACAUCGACGGAGGAGUUUGGCACCUCGAUGUCGGCUCAUCACAUCCUGGGGCUGUAGCAGGUCCCAAGGGUAUGGCUGUUCGCCAUUUAAAGUGGUACGCGAGCUGGGUUCAGAACGUCGUGAGACAGUUCGGUCCCUAUCUGCCGUGGGCGUUGGAAACUUGAGGGUGAGCUGUCCUUAGUACGAGAGGACCGGGAUGGACGUAUCUCUGGUGUUCCGGUUGUCACGCCAGUGGCACUGCCGGGUAGCUAUAUACGGACGGGAUAAGCGCUGAAAGCAUCUAAGCGCGAAGCCCCCCCCAAGAUUAGGUUUCCCUGGGAACUCGAUUCCCCUAAAGGGCCGUCGGAGACUACGACGUUGAUAGGCUGGGUGUGUAAGUGCAGCAAUGCAUUGAGCUAACCAGUACUAAUUGCCCGUGAGGCUUGACCAG